ensembl:miRNA
CAGAAGAUACUGACAUACAGUGUUGUCACCCAUAAAGUAGAAAGCACUACUAAACUUCACUAUACAGUGUAGUGUUUCCUACUUUAUGGAUGAGUAUACUGUUAGCUGCAGAG